rnacentral:lncRNA from 1 species
GGGGUGAGAUCAAGAUAUGCAAAAUACACACGGAUCUGAACAUUUCUGAUCCGUUGACAAAACCACUCCCGCAGGCUAAGCAUGAUGCGCAUGUAAGAGCUAUAGGUAUUAGGUACCUUCUAGAUUGACUCUAGUGCAAGUGGGAGACUGUUGGAGGUAUGCCCUAGAGGCAAUCAUAGAGAUGAUGAUAUUCCAUUUGUAUCCAUGAUUUGUAUGUUGUGUUCAUUGAAUAUCCAUUGAAGGCUACUUGAAUUGAUUUGUAAUUAUGUGAAUUGUAUGUGAAACUCUUUACUUGUAUGGUUAUUCUAAAGUUGUCCCUAGUCGGAGUUCAUGUGAGGACACACAUGAAUAUUAGACUAGCACAUGUAUUAGUUGAUGACUAUGUUUCACAAGUCAUGGACAUGGAGAUGUUGAACUAAUAAUGUGGACACAUGUGGAGACAUGUGCUAGGACUGACCCAACACGAGAAGUAGUUCUCUCUUUAAACAACAUAUACGCUUUGUCCUUAGACCUGAG